GUCGAGAAUAAUUCACAAUGGGGGAAACCCUGAUGGUGCAACGCCGCGUGGAGGAUGAAGGUCUUCGGAUUGUAAACUCCUGUCAUCUGGGAGUAAGACCUGACGGUGAAUAGCCGGCAGGGUUGAUAGUACCAGAAGAGGAAGGGACGGCUAACUUCGUGCCAGCAGCCGCGGUAAUACGAAGGUCCCAAGCGUUGUUCGGAAUCACUGGGCGUAAAGGGAGCGUAGGCGGCGUGGUAAGUCAGAUGUGAAAUCCCGGGGCUCAACCCCGGAACUGCAUCCGAUACUGCCAUGCUUGAGGGUUGGAGAGGUAGCUGGAAUUCUCGGUGUAGCAGUGAAAUGCGUGGAUAUCGAGAGGAACACUCGUGGCGAAGGCGAGCUACUGGACAACAUCUGACGCUGAGGCUCGAAGGCUAGGGGAGCAAAAGGGAUUAGAAACCCCUGUAGUCC
rnacentral:rRNA from 1 species